AUACGUAGGGUGCAAGCGUUAAUCGGAAUUACUGGGCGUAAAGCGUGCGCAGGCGGUUUUGUAAGACAGUGGUGAAAUCCCCGGGCUCAACCUGGGAACUGCCAUUGUGACUGCAAGGCUGGAGUGCGGCAGAGGGGGAUGGAAUUCCGCGUGGAGCAGUGAAAUGCGUAGAUAUGCGGAGGAACACCGAUGGCGAAGGCAAUCCCCUGGGCCUGCACUGACGCUCAUGCACGAAAGCGUGGGGAGCAAACAGGAUUAGAUACCCUGGUAGUCCACGCCCUAAACGAUGUCAACUGGUUGUUGGGGAUUUAUUUUCUCAGUAACGAAGCUAACGCGUGAAGUUGACCGCCUGGGGAGUACGGCCGCAAGGUUAAAACUCAAAGGAAUUGACGGGG
rnacentral:rRNA from 1 species